CCUACGGGAGGCAGCAGUGGGGAAUCUUGCGCAAUGGGCGAAAGCCUGACGCAGCAACGCCGCGUGCGGGAAGAAGGCCUUAGGGUUGUAAACCGCCUUCAGUAGGAACGAAAAUGACGGUACCUGCAGAAGAAGGUGCGGCCAACUACGUGCCAGCAGCCGCGGUGACACGUAGGCACCGAGCGUUGUCCGGAUUUAUUGGGCGUAAAGAGCUCGUAGGCGGUUCAGUAAGUCGGGUGUGAAAACUCUGGGCUUAACCCAGAGCCGCCACUCGAUACUGCUGUGACUUGAGUUCGGUAGGGGAGCAGGGAAUUCCUAGUGUAGCGGUGAAAUGCGCAGAUAUUAGGAGGAACACCGGUGGCGAAGGCGCUGCUCUGGGCCGAUACUGACGCUGAGGAGCGAAAGCGUGGGUAGCAAACAGGAUUAGAUACCCUGGUAGUCCACGCCGUAAACGUUGGGCACUAGGUGUGGGUUCCAACCACGGAAUCCGCGCCGUCGCUAACGCAUUAAGUGCCCCGGCCGUCGGGAGGUACGGCGGCGACGACUAAACUACAAGAAGUAGACGGCGUGAGACGUGCCGACGGACGACGACGAGGGAGUAGG
rnacentral:rRNA from 1 species